AGCGGCGGAUGGGUGAGUAACACGUGGGGAACCUGCCCCUAAGUCUGGGAUACUAUCUGGAAACAGGUGCUAAUACCGGAUAAUAAAGCAGAUCGCAUGAUCAGCUUUUGAAAGGCGGCGUAAGCUGUCGCUAAGGGAUGGCCCCGCGGUGCAUUAGCUAGUUGGUAAGGUAACGGCUUACCAAGGCGACGAUGCAUAGCCGAGUUGAGAGACUGAUCGGCCACAUUGGGACUGAGACACGGCCCAAACUCCUACGGGAGGCAGCAGUAGGGAAUCUUCCACAAUGGACGCAAGUCUGAUGGAGCAACGCCGCGUGAGUGAAGAAGGUUUUCGGAUCGUAAAGCUCUGUUGUUGGUGAAGAAGGAUAGAGGUAGUAACUGGCCUUUACUUGACGGUAAUCAACCAGAAAGUCACGGCUAACUACGUGCCAGCAGCCGCGGUAAUACGUAGGUGGCAAGCGUUGUCCGGAUUUAUUGGGCGUAAAGCGAGCGCAGGCGGAAAAAUAAGUCUAAUGUGAAAGCCCUCGGCUUAACCGAGGAACUGCAUCGGAAACUGUUUUUCUUGAGUGCAGAAGAGGAGAGUGAAACUCCAUGUGUAGCGGUGGAAUGCGUAGAUAUAUGGAAGAACACCAGUGGCGAAGGCGGCUCUCUGGUCUGCAACUGACGCUGAGGCUCGAAAGCAUGGGCAGCGAACAGGAUUAGAUACCCUGGUAGUCCAUGCCGUAAACGAUGAGUGCUAAGUGU
rnacentral:rRNA from 1 species